UUGGAGGGCAAGUCUGGUGCCAGCAGCCGCGGUAAUUCCAGCUCCAAUAGCGUAUAUUAAAGUUGCUGCAGUUAAAAAGCUCGUAGUUGAAUUUCGGGACCAUCAUGUCGGUCGUGCCUCGGUACGUACUGGUAUUGUUGGUUUCUCCCUUCUGACGAACCAUGAUGUCAUUUAUUUGGUGUUGUGGGGAAUCAGGACUGUUACUUUGAAAAAAUUAGAGUGUUUAAAGCAGGCUCACGCUUGAAUACAUUAGCAUGGAAUAAUGAGAUAGGACGUUUGAUUCUAUUUUGUUGGUUUCUAGGAUCGACGUAAUGAUUAAUAGGGAUAGUUGGGGGCAUUAGUAUUCAAUUGUCAGAGGUGAAAUUCUUGGAUUUAUUGAAGACUAACUACUGCGAAAGCAUUUGCCAAGGAUGUUUUCAUUAAUCAAGAACGAAAGUUAGGGGAUCGAAGACGAUCAGAUACCGUCGUAGUCUUAACCAUAAACUAUGCCGACUAGGGAUCGGAUGAUGUUAAUUUUUUAAUGACUCAUUCGGCGCCUUACGGGAAAC
rnacentral:rRNA from 1 species